GUGGAACCUGCGGGUGCGCUCUGAGGGUGUACACUGCAAAAAAUAGUGCUCCCGCAAGUCGUUCAGUCAAGUACGGAGUGUGAAAAAUGUCCUCUUUUCUUUUUCAGACGUGAAGAUAUCAUCCAGCAGGGUCGGAUAACAUCAUUAGUUUCUUGUGCAAAACAAGUUUUUCUUUUUCUUUCUUUCUUUUUUCUUUCUAGGAAUGUUUGUCAUUUGUCCUUAUGUCAUUCCCUUUAUUAUAGCCUUGUUGCAGUGACUCUUGUUUCGAGGCACUUCUUUAUAUGGGCGAAAUUUUCCUCCAAGCGACCAACAAGUGAAAUCACCUCGCCGCAUUGUGGAAAAAUAGAUUUGAAACCUGACAGUGAGACUCAACGGCUCGUCAAGACGGGCAUAUUUUUUGCAGCGCGGCAAAUGCUGAAGUCAUUCUCCGUCUCAUACAACAGCAGCCAAAGACAAGACGGCAUCAGUGGAGAGAGGGAAAAGAGGAGAGAGAAAGGUGCCUCCUCUCGCCAUUGCGAUAAUUGUCUCGCUGUCGAAUCGAUGUCGGUGUCAGUGCUGCUCUAACGGGAGGCGACAGGAGGAGAAGCGGGGGAUUUAACUUCACACACGGACAAACCUAUGCUUGGAUUUCGGCUCUUUCCCCCUUCGCCAAUGCAAAAGGAAAUAUGCAGCGAAGCUUCACCAUCCUCUACACCAGUUUACUGGGGAUGUGCUUGGGUUCCAGCUCAAGUUUUCCAAGUAACAUCAAUAUAGGAGGACUCUUCCCAACCGAAUCGCACGAAUAUGAGGUUUUUCGGUUCGCCCUCUCGCACCACCAGGACAUCCCCAAACUGGUGCCGCAGGUGGAUAUGGUCAAGAUGGGGAAUAGCUUCUCCAUGACAUAUGCCUUUUGUUCCCAGUUCUCCAAAGGUGUGUAUGCCAUCAUUGGCUUGUAUGACAGGAAAACAGUCAACAUGCUCAUGUCCUUCUGUGGAGCGCUGCACGUCUGCUUCGUCACGCCAUCCUUCCCCAUUGAGACGGCCAAUCAGUUUGUUAUCCAGCUGAGGCCUGAGCUCCAGGACGCUCUGGUGGGGGUGAUCGACCACUACGGAUGGACCAAGUUUGUCUACAUGUACAGUUCUGAUUCAGGCCUGUCAGUGCUGCAGAAGGUUCUGGACACAGCAGCAGAGAGGAACUGGCUGGUGACCUCGGUUAAUGUUGAGACCAUGACAGAGGCCUCUUUCUUGAAAGUGUUCCAGGAUUUGGACAAGAGGAAGGAGGGCCAGAUUAUCAUUGACUGUGAGACUGAAAGGCUCACUGGCAUCCUCAAAAAGAUUGUUGAACAAGGCAAGAAUGCAAAGAGCUAUCACUACAUCCUGGCUAACCUGGGUUUCCUGGACAUCGACCUGACAGACCUGAGGAAAGGUGGGGCAAACAUCACUGGCUUCCAGCUCGUCAACAACUCGGAGCCCAGCAUCAGCCGCGUCGUCCAGCAGUGGAUGGAGUUUGACAAUAAAGACUCCAAAGUGCCCAAGAGUGGACUCAAAUACACAGGCGCUCUAACAUAUGACGGGGUGAAAGUCAUGUCCACGGCUUUCCAGAAUUUAAGGCGACAGAGGAUAGACAUCUCUCGCAGGGGCAACGCUGGAGAGUGUCUUGCCAACCCACCGGCUCCCUGGGGACAGGGCAUAGACAUCCAGAGAGCCUUGCAGCAGGUCCGUAUAGAUGGAUUGACUGGUCAUAUUCAGUUUAACGAGAAAGGCCGCAGAACCAACUACACGGUUAGCGUCAUGGAACUGGCCCCGUCUGGACCCAAGAAGGUCGGCUACUGGAACGAGGAUGAGAAGUAUGUGACCACCGCCAGCUUCAUGAGAGGCAGCAACGACACUUACGGCCUGCAGAACAGAACUUACAUUGUCACCACUAUAUUGGAGUCUCCUUAUGUGAUGCUGAAGAAGAACCAUGAGCAGCUUGUGGGGAAUGAUAAGUACGAGGGCUACAUAGUCGAACUGGCUGCAGAGAUAGCCAAACAUGUGGGCUACCAGUACAAACUGAAGAUUGUUUCAGAUGGAAAGUACGGAGCCCGAGAUCCCGAUACCAAGAUGUGGAACGGCAUGGUGGGCGAACUGGUAUAUGGGAAAGCAGAUGUGGCUGUGGCUCCUCUGACUAUCACCCUGGUCCGUGAAGAAGUCAUCGACUUUUCCAAGCCCUUCAUGUCCCUUGGUAUCUCCAUCAUGAUUAAGAAACCUACCAAAUCCAAACCUGGUGUGUUUUCAUUCCUGGACCCACUGGCUUACGAGAUCUGGAUGUGCAUAGUGUUUGCCUACAUUGGUGUCAGCGUCGUCCUCUUCCUUGUCAGCCGGUUCAGCCCGUACGAGUGGCACGCUGAGGACUACGAGGAGGGAGGUGAGCCGCAGACUCCCACCCAAGCUUCUGCCUCUAAUGGGGUGCAGCAGGGCCAGACACCAACACAGCAGAACACCAACCAAAUGAGUGCUGAGCAGACCAAUGAGUUUGGCAUCUUCAACUCCCUUUGGUUUUCACUUGGCGCCUUCAUGCAGCAGGGAUGCGAUAUCUCCCCACGCUCUCUGUCAGGCCGCAUUGUUGGAGGCGUGUGGUGGUUCUUCACCCUUAUCAUCAUCUCAUCCUAUACUGCCAACUUGGCUGCCUUCCUGACAGUGGAGAGGAUGGUGUCUCCUAUAGAGAGUGCUGAGGAUUUGGCCAAGCAGACAGAAAUCGCCUAUGGAACGCUGGAUGCUGGCUCCACCAAAGAGUUCUUCAGGAGGUCUAAGAUUGCUGUGUUUGAGAAGAUGUGGUCCUACAUGAAGGCGGCUGACCCGUCCGUGUUUGUCAAGACCACAGACGAGGGUGUAAUGAGGGUCAGGAAGUCCAAGGGCAAGUAUGCCUACCUGCUGGAGUCCACUAUGAACGAGUACAUAGAACAGAGGAAACCCUGCGACACCAUGAAGGUGGGAGGGAACCUGGACUCUAAAGGUUAUGGCAUCGCCACACCCAAGGGCUCCCCUCUCAGAAACCCAGUAAACCUGGCAGUGUUAAAACUGAACGAGCAGGGCCUCUUGGACAAAUUGAAAAACAAGUGGUGGUACGACAAGGGAGAGUGCGGCAGCGGGGGCGGGGACUCCAAGGACAAGACGAGCGCUCUGAGCCUCAGCAAUGUGGCGGGAGUCUUCUACAUCCUGAUCGGCGGCCUGGGCCUGGCCAUGCUGGUGGCGCUGGUGGAGUUCUGCUACAAGUCCAGGACCGAGUCGCGCCGAAUGAAGGUGUCAAGCGCGCGAGCCGCUGCUGCCUCAGCCGCUCAGGCCUUUCACUGCUCAGCCUUAGACAGUGGUGCUAGCGCCCCCUACACAGAGCUGCAGAGCUACGGCCUGUACGCCAACAACACUGUUAAGAUAUAAGGGCAGAGCACAGCGACGGGGUAGGAAACGCUGUGAUCCAGCCAUGAUGAUGAUGAUGAUGAUGAUGAUGAUGAUGAUGAUGACAUCCGCCUUCUCACACCCCCCGCCCAUCUAACCGUGAUCACACAAUCCAUCAACGAUGCCAUGCGCUGCUCCACCCUGACCAGGAUGAGUGGCAACGGGAGUGGCGGAGAGAACGGACGAAUCCUCACCCAUGACUUCCCCAAGACCGUUCAG